rnacentral:lncRNA from 1 species
CAGGAAAUACCACCGGCGACCGGAGGCGACGACGAUGAGGGAGAUGGAGGCCUCGCGCGCGCGCAUCAGUGGCGCCUGGGGGCCGGACGCGUGGCGGAGAUUGGGGAGUCGCUGGCACCGGCCACGGCCACGUCCACUCAGGUAUGCCCGGCGGGCCGGCCAGGUUGCGGGGGCAAUAGAGGAGCUAUGCCUCUCAGCAAGAUAAUUGCCUCUCUGCUUUUAUUUCGUGUUAGGUUGUCCAUCCGCCGAAUGGAUUUGAGAAAAUUAUUUUAGGGCAGGCAAGAGGUUCACUUCUCGCUGCUUGUUUUUGUUCAGUGAUUUGUGAUGUCUUAGCAGCUCAAUAGGUUCAAACUUAAUGGAAAAGCUUUGCCACCAAAAUUUUGUAGUUCACUCCUCACUGCUAUCAAAUUGUCUCGAAAAGGUUCCUCAGUAUGUAAAUUGGGCAGGGUUUUCGUUAAUUACACCUAAAUUUAUUUUGAUAUCUCUUGUUGCCAAAAUUGAGCUAAACCUGACAUCAAUAUCUGCUAUUCACGGCCUUCUAUUUCUACUUGCAGAUUAAUUCCCUAAUUAUUGCUGCUAUCUUUUUUGCAUUGCGUCGUAUGUCAUGUGCAUGUGGUCUGGCAGAAGACCAAAACGAAUCAAAAGUUAGAAAAAUCCAUAGAACUGACCUUAUGUUGUCGAUUUGUUAAGUACUCCUAUCAUAUAACUUAAUAUUCUUUUUCAAUCCACUAUCAUGGUUAUGUAAGUGUUGAUCUGUUAUCAGCCGCAAUUUGAUUGGAGAUAGAAGGGAGCGUGUGGGCAGUUGUUCAUGCCUUAAAAACAUAGCCUGGGAUGAGUGUCGCCAGCAAUGUACUUUGACAUAAGCAGCCAUAGAAUCAUUUACAAGGCAGACAUUCAUGCCUACAAGAUUUUGCUUAAUCUGGCCACAAGUAAGCACCCUGGGACGAGUGUCUAGUCAACGGAGCACACUUCUUAUGCCUAGAUAUAAAGAUUAUAUGUGCUUUCGGUGCAAGUAAGUUAAUGUGCAUUGCAAGUUUGCGACUAAAUGUUUCAUAUAUACUUGAUUGAGCAGAACUAACCUCCCAAUGCCAAAGUUGAAACUGAACCUUAAGAGUAUGUCAUAACAUAAUACCUGUUGUAUGUGAGCCAUGUUCCAGUCUGGUUCAUAAGGCCCAAUCCCAUGCACUGACCUAGAAGAGGAGCUUGUCUGGUGUCUGAUUGGGUGCGCCGCCACACACACCAAAUUGACAGGGCUCCUGAUAUAUGUCUCUCGUGCUACAAUACCAUACUGAUCUGCAUGCAGUCUUAGAAGUUAGAAUCACUGAUGGUCGUUGGCAUAAGAAAAUAGUGUUCAUAAAUAUACAUCUUGUAAGAUAGGCAGACAAUCUUCUUUUCAUAAAUAAACAAAUAAAGGCAUGCCUCAAUAUUGCUAUAUUUGAAUGUGAUUAUAAAAGUCCUGCACAUGCUUCUACAAAAUGGGUAUUAUGGGGUUUGACUGCAUGGGAAAAGCACCCCGACAAGUUCUCAAUUAUUCUGAAGGUGUACUAAUGGGCAAGGGUCUAAAGUUCAUGCAAUUUUUGAACUUUAGAACCAAUGUACUGAGAAACAAACUAUGAACAGCGUUCUGAAUAAUCAAAACUGAAAACUAAGUUUUGGCAGAUCUAUUCUUUUUUCUUUUCUACGUCUUGCAAACUAUAUUUAGUUUGAAGUUCAAAAUCUGCACACAUUCACAACCACGCCCUUCCCUACCAAUCCACCUUGUAGAAUUUGUGAGAACUUUUACAUGUUAUUUUCAUACAACAUUUUUGGCGUUUUGUGUAUUUGCGCAGGAUAUACUCCUGUUUAUGACGGGCAAGUUAUUAAACUGUUUAUUAACUAUUACCCUUGUCAAUACUAACAAGUCAAUUUGAAACUGAACACUGAUGCGUGUUUUGUUUCCUAUUUCUUGGGUGCAAACAUAUUUAUCUACUCAGUAUCAUUUAAACGAAGCCUAUUGCUGAAUAAAGCGCUUUAAAUUCUCUGCAAUGUUUAUGGCAUUUUCAAACAUUGACCUUUCACUGUGUAUUGCAUUAAGGCUCAUAACUGUUUCAGAAGUCAAUGGUAGUGCUACCAUAGGCUGAGCUAGGUACAGCCAUCUAAUUUGCUACUCUAGAGACCUAAGAAGGUGAAGUCCCUGUGGCCUGCAUUCCAGUUUAUCAUGUAAUUUUAGAAGAAAUAGUUCAUCAUGCAAUUGUUACAGACUAAAACUUUUAUUUUAUAACGAUUGCCUUUUGGUUAUCAUUACAACAACGGAGUUUCAUUUUAUCAUUUCAUCCCUUAUCUCCUAGCUAGCUUGAACACCGUACUGUAUUGGAUUCGGCAACACCUAUAAUAAUUUCUGAACUUAGCUUAUGAAGGAUGAAGGAAAGAUUGUGGUAUCCCUCCAAGGACUGUCUACGGAUGAUCUCCUCGUGCACCAGUUUUACCCUCCCCCUCAACCAGCUUGUGGUAUCUGUCAAAGCGGCUACUUGUGGUGCCAAGGCGGUGGGCCCGCUUAGCAAGAUCUGGGUGCUAGUUGACGACGUGCCAGUGGGGCUUCGAUCUGUGGAGUUCAUGAUGGCGUUUGGUAAGCUCAUUGGCAAGCCCGUGGAAGUGGAUUCGGAAUCCCUGGGCAAGGUUGGCCCGGUUCGUCUCAAUGUCUGGUGCAUCGACCCCGUUUGCAUUCAUGGCUCUGUGGAUGUCUUCCCUUCUCCUGAGGGUGUGCGACUUCGGGUGGAGGGUGCUGAACCCCGUGCUCCUCCUCCACCUCCGCCUCCUCCUUCCAAGCCUUCGGACCAAGACGACACGCAGGGGGAUGGUUCGGCUGGGGGGCAGAACCCAAGUGGAGGUACUGAUCCGCGUUUUACACAAUCUGAAUGGGAUAAGUUGGAUCCGGAUGAACGCGAGCUGCUCAAGGAUAAUGCCCCUGCCCCUAAUCCUCAGAAGGAGGACUUGGCUUCCCGUGUCGCUGGUGCUGGUAAGGGGACCCCCUUCUCUGGAGUUUGCUCCAAUGUGCCUACUCGCCCGCAGUCUCCUUCCUUCUCUGGGAUCGAGGAUCUUCCUGCUUCCCCCUUGCGCUCCACCGAGCCCUCAACUAAGAAGAAGAAGAAGUCUUCGGUCCGGAAAUUCUCGGCUAAGAGUCGGGCCUCCUCCACUUCCAAGCUUUCGGCGGCGGAUCUGGCUCGUCGUCUGGACAAGGACCUGGGCUCCGCCUCGGGGUCUGGCCCUGGGCCGGCGUCGCCGAUCCGGUGCUCCCCUGUGCUGCAUUCUCCAGCGUCCACGGCGCGGAAGGGCCGGCGUGUGCGUGACUCUGGCGUUUCGGUGGCGAUGCAGGCGGAACGGCGUGCCGCGGCCAAGGAUCUCCCUCCUUCAGGUUUGUCUGCCCAACCAUCUCUUCCUGCCUCUCCUGUUCGCCUUGUUUUACCAGCUCUGUCAGAUGACCAUUUGCUGCAUAUCAUGUCUGAUAUUGGGGUGGCUGCGAUACCGGGGAUGGGCUCCCCCUCUCACCUUCUUUCUGUCAUUAGGGCCAAUGAGGCAGCCCAGGCUGCCAUUGCUAAGGCCGUUGAGGCCGCGAAAGGUGCUGGUCCUGCUGGUGCUCAGGGCCAAGCCGGGGGGUUGGAGGCGACAAAUGGUUGUGGCCAGUCGUCUGCCCCCCGGCCCUUGCUAAGGUUGGGCGUCCCAAGCGAUCUAAGCCUUGUGGGGCUUCGUGCAGAUCGAGUCUCCGUAUUAAAAACCUUUCCUUCAAAUGAGAGCUUUAUUUUGGAAUAUUCGUGGUUUCGGUGCUAGGGGGCGCCGUGACCAGAUUCAUGACUUGGUUUGUGGUGAACAUAUUGACAUUUUAGGGCUGGUCAAAACGUUUAAGGAAUCCUUUUCCCCUUCUGAACUCUCUGCGGUAGCUGGGAUGGAUAGGUUUGAUUGGCACUUUCUCCCCGCCUCGGGUCAUUCUGGGGGAAUCCUUAUUGGGUCCAAGCGGGACGUUUUUGAUUUCAUUGCUUUUGAUCAUGGCAUCUUUUGGGCUAGCUGCGUGGUUCAUCAUCGUCAGCUCAACACUUUGUGGGAAUUUAUGGUGGUAUAUGGCCCUGCGGAUCACACGCUUGCUCCUCUCUUUUUGGACGAACUAUCGAUUAAGAUUGAAACAUGUAAUAUUCCUCUUCUAAUUGGGGGUGAUUUCAACUUGUUACGUUCUCCGGCCGACAAGAAUAAUCCUAAUUUCUCCUGGCCACUUGCCAAUGCUUUUAAUGAUUUCAUUAGUAACUGCGAGAUGCGUGAGCUCCCUAGGGUGGGGGCGCGUUUCACCUGGUCUAACCAUCAAUCCUCGCCUGUCCGGUCGGUGCUGGACAGGGUUUUUGUUUCUGUUCAGUGGGACUCGCUGUUUCCCCGCGCGCUGCUUAAGGCUAGGCCUGCGGUGGGCUCUGAUCAUGUUCCCCUGAUCCUGGAUGCAGGUAUCCUCUCUCUUGUUUCUCCCUCCCGUUUCCAGUUUGAUGCUUCUUGGCUUGUUGUGGAGGGCUUUUGUGACAUGAUGGUUUCUAAGAUUACUAAUCUUCUCUCGUCUCCUCACCGCUCAUUUGGUCCCUUGGAUGAUUGGCACAAGGUGUCUUAUGAGUUGCGUAAAUUCUUAAGGGGGUGGUCUCGGAAUAGGGCGGUCGAGUUGCGUAGAGACAAGGAAUCCCUCGAAUCUCAAAUCAGGGAUUUGGACCAAUCUGCUGACACAUCUGGGCUCUCCGCCUCUCAGUGGGCUACUCGCUACUCCCUGGAAGACGCUUUGCUGUUGCUUCACCAACAGUCAGAGAUUUGCUAGCGCCAACGAGGUGCCCUUAACUGGACCUUAAAAGGGGAUGCUAUGACGGCCUAUUUUUUGCGAUCGCGAAUGGCAGACGCCGCAGGUGUUUCAUUGACACUCUGUUGAUUGACGGCGUUAGAGUUUCUGACUAGUCUCUCAUUAUGAAUCACAUUGUUAGCUUCUAUUCUAAUCUACUCGGCUCUAAGCCGGACCCUGGGCUUGGCCUUUGUCCUGACUUCUGGGAUGAGGGGUCUAAGAUCUCUCCGGACGAAAAUUCGGGCCUGAUGGUUCCCUUAUCUGAUGAAGAGAUUUGGCAGGUGAUCAGCUCGGCUAACCCGCAUGCUGCUUCCGGCCCUGAUGGUUUUUCGAUCCCCUUCUUCAAAAAAUUCUGGCCGUAGUUGCGGCCUCUCAUUUGUAUGAUCAUCCAAGGGUUCUGGUUGGGUACGGUGGACAUUUAUCGCCUUAAUUACGCUGUCAUUACCCUUAUUCCUAAAGUCAAGGGCGUGGAUUUGAUCUCGCAAUUUAGGCCGAUUGCCCUUAUUAAUAACUUGCCAAGUUUCCGGCUAAAGGGUUAGCCACUCGUCUCACCCCCAUUGCCCACCGUACCAUUAGCCCUUUCCAGUCGGCUUUCAUUAAGGGUCGUUUCAUUCUGGACGGGGUUCUCUGUUUGCAUGAAAUCGUUCAUGAUCUUAAGAUUCGCAAGUCGAAAGCGGUGAUUCUAAAAUUAGACUUUGAGAAGGCCUAUGACUCGGUGAGUUGGCACUUUCUGCGUAGAGUUUUAUUGGCCAAAGGGUUCGAGGGGCCCCUCGUCCAUAGGAUUCUGCAGUUGGUCUCGAGAGGCCACACUGCCAUCAAUGUUAAUGGUCAGGUUAGCAAAUUCUUUGCCAACAGUAGGGGCCUGAGGCAAGGCGAUCCUGCCUCUCCCAUCUUAUUCGAUUUUGUUGCAGAUGCUUUACCUCGCCUACUUUCUAGGGCAGCUACUAGUGGGCACAUUACUCAGGUGUGUUCUAAUCUCAUCCCCCCUGGUCUCACCCAUCUCCAAUAUGCGGACGACACUAUUAUUCUGGUCGAGAUGAAUGAGGCCUGCCUUGCCCACCUUAAAUUUAUUUUACUUUGCUUCGAGGCUAUGGCGGGGCUUAAGAUUAACUUUGCCAAGAGCAAAGUAGUUGUGACUGGUGUGGACGAUUCGGAAGCCGCGCGAGUGGCCCACCUUCUUAACUGUAAGCAGGGCUCCUAUCUGUUCAAGUACUUGGGUUUGCCUAUUUCCCCGGAUGUGCUCCAUGCCAAAGAUUUUGCCCCGAUAGUCACUAAGGUGGGAAACAGGGUCCUUCCCUGGCGGGGUAGAUAUAAUACGAAUGCUGGUAAAGUGGCUCUAAUUAAUGCUUGCCUCUCCUCCCUCCCCAUGUUCCUUAUGGGCUUCUUUCUCUUGUCGGCUGGGAUUCAUGCUGGUUUUGACAAAACACCGUGGGGCGUUUUAGUGGAAUGCUGCGGACAAUCGUCGCAAAUAUCGCUUCGUCAAAUGGAAAUUGAUGUGCAGGCCCAAAAACCUUGGGGGGUUAGGGAUUCUUAAUACUUCCAUCAUGAAUCAAUGCUUGAUGAUUAAAUGGUGGUGGAAGAUUAUGACCGCUGAGGAUCAACCCCUUUGGCUGUCGAUCCUUAAGGCUAAAUAUUUCCCAUCCUCGAGCCCGAUGUUUGCUUUGCCGCGUGGUGGCUCUCAGUUUUGGAAGUCUCCGGUCAAAGUUAGACCUGUUUUUUAAUCUUUCGUUAAGUUUGUUGUUGGGGACGGUUCCUCUAUUCGGUUUUGGCUUGAUUGGUGGUGUGGAGAUUCACCUCUCUCGGUGACCUUCCCUACCCUUUUCUCUUACUGCUCUGACCCUAAUAUUUCUAUUGCGAAGCUUGCAUCCCAGGGGUGGAACCUGGCCUUUCGCCGUUCUCUGUCGCCUGUAGAGUUUCAAGAUUGGCAACGUCUUACUGCCCUCUUCCCUACGCUCUCGACGGUCAGGGACUCGGUGCUUUGGCCGCUUUCUGCCUCUGGGCGGUUUUCUGUUAAGUCUCUUUAUUCUAAGCUCGUUGGUGGCACGCCUACCAAUCGUUUUUCCCAAGUUUGGAAGGCCAGUAUUCCCCCUAAGAUUAAAAUUUUCUUGUGGCAAGCCUUUCGAGGCCGGUUGCCCUCGGCUGAUCAGAUUCGUAAGAGAAACGGGCCGGGCUCCCAGUUUUGUGCUCUUUGCGGUGAUGUGGAAGACUCAGAUCAUAUCUUUUUUCACUGUCACCUGGCUAACCUUAUUUGGAGUUGUGUGCGGGACUGGCUUCAUGUGUCUUGGGCCCCUGCCUCCUUUGCUGAGUUGCGCAGCCUGGCGUCCAACCUCUCCGGUGUAUCUAGACGCAUCUUUUGGGUGGGCUUGGAGGCUUUAUGCUGGUCUCUGUGGACUACUAGGAACAAAUUUACUAUCGAGCACGUGUUUCCGGCUAAACCGGCUGACUGCUUAUUUAAAUCGUGUGCUUUCCUGCAGCAGUGGAAAUCAUUGACUAAGGCCGACGACCAAGAGGCGCUCUGUAUGCUGAUCGACAAAAUCUGGACCACGGCGUCUCAGUUAUGCAGACAAGAGCAGGAUGCUUGAGUGCUUCUUUUGGGCCAGAUUCUUUAGCUUUAGUUGGUUCUGUCUCUUCCGGCCUGCGUGCCGUGUACUGGCGUGGGAGCCAUGUACCUGACUUUAUCCUUCGUCGUCUUGCCCAGCGUUGGGGCUUGGGUGUGUUUGAUACUUUUCGAUGAUGUUGUUGCUACCUGCCUUAUGGCUUUAUUUAUAAAGUCGGGCGUAUGCCUUUCC